GAGUUUGAUCCUGGCUCAGAACGAACCCUGGCGGCAGGCCUAAUACAUGCAAGUCGAGCGCGCCCUUCGGGGUGAGCGGCGGACGGGUGAGUAACGCGUGGGAAUAUGCCCUUCUCUAAGGAAUAGCCUCUGGAAACGGAGAGUAAUACCUUAUACGCCCUUUGGGGGAAAGAUUUAUCGGAGAAGGAUUAGCCCGCGUUAGAUUAGGUAGUUGGUGGGGUAAUGGCCUACCAAGCCUACGAUCUAUAGCUGGUUUGAGAGGAUGAUCAGCCACACUGGGACUGAGACACGGCCCAGGCUCCUACGGGAGGCAGCAGUAGGGAAUCUUAGACAAUGGGGGCAACCCUGAUCUAGCCAUGCCGCGUGUGUGAUGAAGGCCCUAGGGUCGUAAAGCACUUUCGCCAGAGAUGAUAAUGACAGUAUCCGGUAAAGAAACCCCGGCUAACUCCGUGCCAGCAGCCGCGGUAAUACGGAGGGGGUUAGUGUUGUUCGGAAUUACUGGGCUUAAAGAGUUCGUAGGUGGUUGAAAAAGUUGGUGGUGAAAUCCCAGAGCUUAACUCUGGAACUGCCAUCAAAACUUUUCAGCUAGAGUAUGAUAGAGGAAAGCAGAAUUUCUAGUGUAGAGGUGAAAUUCGUAGAUAUUAGAAAGAAUACCAAUUGCGAAGGCAGCUUUCUGGAUCAUUACUGACACUGAGGAACGAAAGCAUGGGUAGCGAAGAGGAUUAGAUACCCUCGUAGUCCAUGCCGUAAACGAUGUGUGUUAGACGUUGGAAAUUUAUUUUCAGUGUCGCAGGGAAACCGAUAAACACACCGCCUGGGGAGUACGACCGCAAGGUUAAAACUCAAAUGAAUUGACGGGGACCCGCACAAGUAGUGGAGCAUGUGGUUUAAUUCGAAGAUACGCGCAGAACCUUACCAACACUUGACAUGUUCGUCGCGACUCUAAGAGAUUAGAGUUUUCGGUUCGGCCGGACGAAACACAGGUGCUGCAUGGCUGUCGUCAGCUCGUGUCGUGAGAUGUUGGGUUAAGUCCCGCAACGAGCGCAACCCUCACUUUUAGUUGCCAUCAUUAAGUUGGGCACUCUGAAAAAACUGCCAGUGAUAAGCUGGAGGAAGGUGGGGAUGACGUCAAGUCCUCAUGGCCCUUACGUGUUGGGCUACACACGUGCUACAAUGGCAUCUACAACAGGAAGCAAAACGGCAACGUUAAGCAAAUCCCGAAAAGAUGCCUCAGUUCGGAUUGCACUCUGCAACUCGAGUGCAUGAAGCUGGAAUUACUAGUAAUCGUGGAUCAGCGUGCCACGGUGAAUGCGUUCCCGGGUCUUGUACACACCGCCCGUCACACCAUGGGAGUUGGUUCUACCUUAAGGCAAGGUUUUGAACCCUUGACCACGGUAUAGUCAGCGACUGGGGUGAAGUAGGGACAAGGUAACC
rnacentral:rRNA from 1 species